AUGAACAAGGACAGACUGAUUGGGUGUAACAAGGCAAUCAUCAAAAGUAAUAGUUUGAAGGGGGCGGAGCAAGAUGGCCGAAUAGGAACAGCUCCAGUCUCCAACUCCCAGCGCAAGCGACACAGAAGACCNNNNNNNNNNNNNNNNNNNNNNNNNNNNNNNNNNNNNNNNNNNNNNNNNNNNNNNNNNNNNNNNNNNNNNNNNNNNNNNNNNNNNNNNNNNNNNNNNNNNGGUCUUCUGUGUCGCUUGCGCUGGGAGUUGGAGACUGGAGCUGUUCCUAUUCGGCCAUCUUGCUCCGCCCCCUUCAAACUAUUACUUUUGAUGAUUGCCUUGUUACACCCUGUGGAGACUCGCCAAGUUAGAGGCAACUCUCCACUUCAGAAAAGUACUUUAUCCUUCCUAGCUCUCCUCAGACUAAAAAUCUGUUAACAGGGAUAAGUUAGUUUGAGAAGAGUUUGAUGAAGAUUCCAGUAUUAACUGGAAAUCUUAUCCUCCUAGAUCAGAGCUUCUCUGCCAAAGUUGGUUCAAUGCUCUAUAAAAUACUAAAGAGCAAGGAUGGACCACCCCAACCAGUACUUGCAAUUUCUUAAAACCGUAUAUUCAUUUUACUAAAGGAGUUAUCCCUCCCCACUGUCAACUAAACCAAUGUAAUCCAGUACAGAUUACCGUCUCUGCUCCCUGGAGUUCUUCCCUUCAUUAAGCCAUUUCUAUGGUAUAGGAGCAGAAGUCUCAGGAUCCUUUGAAAUGUGCUUCAUUGCCUCCUCACUUCCUGCACCCUUUUCUCCCUCUCCUACGUUCUCCCCUAACCAAACCUUCUCUUGUUAUAUACCCGAUGAUAAAACCAAAGUAGUUGUUGUAGAGGUUAACUAUUUAAAACAAACUAUAGCAAUAGAAACAGGGUAUCAGGAUGCAAAUGCUUGGCUGGAAUGGAUAAAAUAUUCUGUUUGCACACUAAACAAAAGUGACUGAAACGCUUGUGCGAUAGGCAGGCCAGACACCCAGAUGUUCCCUUUCUACUUGGGUGGUCCUCUCAGGGACCGGGCAUGAGCUGUAUAGUAGCUCUCUUCCAGAACCCCACAACCUGGGGUGAUGGGUCAUGCGAGACUCUUUUACUGCUUUACCCUGAGGUUAAGAGCCCUGUGGGUCAGCCCUCAAGGGCCAUCUGGCCUCCAGCCCCUGAUAUUAACUUCACCUCAUGCCUUUCACGGCAGGGGGAAAAGUUAGCAUUCCUUGAAGAUUUAACAGGGUGUAGUGAAACCAAGCCUCUUCAAGAGCUUACCAAUCAGUCUGUCCUUGUUCAUCCCUGAGCAUAAGUGUGGUGGUAUUAUGGGGGACUAUUGCUGGGUACUCUGCCAAGUAAUUAGAGCAGCUCUUGUGCUCUAGUCCAAUUUGCCAUCCCUUUGACUCUAGCAUUCCGUCAACACAAUUACAAAAACAAGAGAAAAUUGUAAAGGAAGAAGUACCCUAUAUGGGUCCUUUGACCCCCAUGUUUAUAUAAAUGCUAUUAGAGCUCAACGAGGAGUGCCAGAUGAAUUUAAAACCCACGAUCAAAUAACUUCAGGAUUUCAGUCAAUAUUCUGGUGGGUGAAGAUUAAUAAAAAUGUAGACUGGAUAAAUUACAUCUAUUAUGAUCAACAGUGGUUUAUUAACUACACUAGAGAUGCUGUUAAAGAAAUAGCAGAGAAAUUAGGGGCUACUAGCCAGAUGGCUUGGGAAAAUAGAAUAGCCUUAGACAUUAUAUCAGCAGAAAGAGGAAGAGUUUGCCUCAUGAUUAAAACUCAAUGUUGUACUUUCAUCCCAAAUAAUACUGCCCCUGAUGGAAGUAUAACAAAUGCAUUGCAAGGUCUAACUGCUCUGUCCAGUGAGUUAGCCAAAAACUCAGGGGUAAAUGACCCCUUUAAAAGGUGGUUAGAAAAAUCAUUCAGUAAACGGAAAAAAAAUCAUAGCCUCAGUUCUCACUUCUCUCAUGGUUGUAGUAGGAGUAUUCAUCCUUAUUGGGUGUUGUGUCAUACCACGCAUCUGUGGGCUGAUGCACAGACUCAUACAGGCAGUACUUACUAAAAUGUCCCUUAAUUCUCCUCCACCUUAUUCAGAGAAGCUUUUUCUGUUAGAGAAUCAUGCCAAACAGCUAAGCCAAGACAUGUUAAGGAAGUUUGAAGAGAAAGAAUUGGAAAAAUUCAAGAUGAAGAAUUGUUAAAUAUAGUGAACCCCGUUUCUCUUCAAAGAAUCAGUAUGUCAGUAUGUUCAGCUCUCUUAUUGAUUCUCUAUUUUAAAGUUUAACUUCCUGGUUCCCUUCACCCCGUUGCUUCUAAUUUCAGUAAACAACUUUCCCUCCAGUCCUAAUCAGUAGUUCACAUCUGUUCCCCUGGUCACCUGCUUUGAAAUGAGUCACCCCGGUCACCUGCUCCAUCCUGACUCACCCUGAGCCACUAGUUCUGUAACUGUGCUUCCUGCCAAACUACGUGCCUCACCACUCUGGCUCAUAGUCCUGCUCCUUUUUAAAAUAACCAGUCGAAAUUAGUUUAGACUAUGCAGUCCAACCCUAGAAAACAGGGGAAUGACACAGCAGUAGAGGCUAUCUCCAUCAGGAAUAAGAACCUCUUCCCCUCCUUGUCCACGUGUGCUCUCACCCUUGUUCCAUCUGCAAGAGCACUCUUUCUGCAGAAAGUAAAAACUGCCUUGCUGAGAAAAUUAAAUUUAUGUUUGAGUGCUAUUUAUUUGCGGUACCGGGGAAAAAACAUUUUGCAUUUCUAACGUAAGGGAGACGUGAGGAUAAGAGUCAGUAGCAGGAAUAGGAGCUUUGACAACAGAAGCAAGUGUUUGGAGUGAAAGAAGGAAGAGUUCAUGAGCCAAGGAAUGCAGGCAGCCAUUAGGAGCUAAAAUAGGCAGGAAAACAGAUUAUUCACUACAGUCUCCAGAAGAAAACAGACUUAACAACUCCUUGAUGUAUCUCACCUAGGGGUGUUUGCCAACACCUCUACUAACACUACGUUAAUAUAUUUUCAUUUCCCACUGAAGAAGGUUUAAAAAGUGUAAUGUGUAAUUUCCAUUUGGUUCUUCCCAUUAAUGUAAUACUCAUAUCCACUUUCUCUUCUAUUAUCUCUCUGAAUCAUUUGCCUAUGUUUCCAAUCACCUUAGAGGUUUUGCUGGCAUGUUACUUGAUAGGAAAAUAGUAAGUUUUAAUACAAGAUGUGUGAUAUGAGCCCAAUAUUGUAAAUAAACAUUUAACCCUAUAUGUGUAUGUGCAUGUUAUAUAUAAUAUAUAAAAUGGGUGAAUACACAUAAAGUACACAUACAUAUAUAGAUGUACAUGUACACAUGCACCCACAUAUUGUCUUUAAAACAUGUUCCAAAGUAUAAGUAACUUCUUCUGGGAGAUGAGCUGUAAGAAGCAUAAUGAGUUAUGCUACUUCUUAUUUCUUAAAUUUCAAGUAGAAGACAGGAAGAGUGGUGAAUAUAAUUUAACAUAAGAUACUUAGUUGUCUAUGCUUUGGAGAUGACAUGAGACUAAUUAUAUUAGGGCCAUCGCAUAAAAUUAUCAUCCCACUUACGUUAAAAGUAAAAUAAUAUAGGAGAAAUUGAGAAAGAUAAAAUCCUGAUAAUUCUUCUUAGAAAUUUUCUACAGCCAAACGUAGUGGCUCAUGCCUAUAAUCCCAGCACUUUGCAAGGCCGAGGUGAGUGGAUCACUUGAGGUCAGGAGUUCAAGAGCAGUCUGGCCAACAUGGUGAAACCCUGUCUCUACUAAAAAUACAAAAAUUAGCCUGGUGUGGUGGUGGGCACCUGUAAUCCCAGCUACUUGGGAGGCUGAAGCAGGAAAAUCACUUGAACUCUGAAGGUGGAGAUUGCAGUGAGCCAAGAUCACACCAUUGUACUCUAGCCUGGGCAACAAAAGUGAGACACCAUCUCAAAAAAAAAAAAAAAAAGAAAAAAAGAAAUUUGUUCAUGUUUGAAGAGAGAAGCAUGACAGAGCACAUGAGCAGCAAUAUGAAAGCAUAUAUUUAUGCUUCUUUACAUUGUUCUAAGUUGGAAACAUGAAGUAAUAAAAGUACUCUGAUUCUUUAUUUAGAGAUAAAGUAAUGACACUUUAACACCAGACCAGGCACAGUAGCUCACACUUGUAAUCUCAGCACUUUGGGAGGCCGAGGCAGGCAGAUCACAAGGUCAGGAGUUCAAGACCAUCCUGGCUAACACGGUGAAAACCUGUCUGUACUAAAAAUAAAAAAUUUAGCCAGGCGCGGUGGCAUGCACCUAUAAUCCCUGCUACUCAGAAGACUGAGGCAGGAGAAUCACUUGAACCUGGGAGGCAGAGGUUGCAGAGAGCCGAUAUUGUACCACUGCACUCCAGCCUGAGUGACAGAGCAAGACUUUGUCUCAAAACAAACAAACAAACAAACAAAAAGGAAUACCAAUGUGGAUAUAAGAAUUCUAACAUUUAAUAUCCAUUUCUCCCUUUGGCUAAUCCUCUGAAUAUUUCCCUACAGGUUGGAACUGCUCCUGGACACAGUUUCUCACUUUCAAAUCCAAUCCUCAAGUAACUCUAACACUCAGCCAAAGUAGCUUGCGGACCCUCUUCCCCUUUGUCCUUUCUGUCCUCAUCAUUUUGAGAACCAGCAUGGCCUCCUGGAACUCUAUUUUGUUUAAUUACUCACCUACAUUAUGCAUAAAAGAAGGAAGGUCUAAUAAACUGACUCAGCAAAUAAUAAUGUUUUUAUUUAGAACAUGCAAAGAAGAAAUGCCUUUGAAUUAUAAUACACAAAUCAUCUUUCUCUAUUUAACACUGAUAACAUAUUAAUACCUCAACAUUAGAUAAGUAUCAGCAUUAUGUGACAGUCAAUGCAACUGUUAGAGAGUAUGGAGAAUAGUAGAUACAUUUGCACAGUGAAACAUAGGAAACUCUCCUUAAUGGAGGCUGAAUGUUCACUAGAUCUUGAGGGAAGGGAAAAUGUGAGAUGACAGGCCAGAAAAGGUAUCGCAGAUAGUGAAAGGUGGAUAACGCCCCAGAGGAAAGAGAGCUGCAGGGA
ensembl:lncRNA